GCCAGGCAUGGUGGCCCACACCUGUAAUCCCAGCAGCUCAGGAGGCUGAGGUAGGAGGAUCUCAAGUUCAAAGCCAGCCUCAGCAAUUCAGCAAGACUCCAAGCAAGUCAGUGAGACCCUGUCUCUA
rnacentral:sRNA from 1 species